UCCAAAGUCUCUACAUUUAUCAAACAGAAAUUAUUUUGGUUUCAGGUGCAGCUCAUAUGGUGUUUCUUAGGCUGUUCAUUCCAGAUUUGGGCACUCUUUGGGAGUGUAUUGGCUUGCUUCCCAAACUGUCCAUGUGCUUCGUAAUCAUCAUGUAUGUAAUUUCAGCUUCAUUUUAUGUGUGAGGGAACAGAAGGACAUACAUUUAAAUUCUUAUUUUCUCAGCGCAUGGAACUUGAUAUUGCCUUCUGUCUGAGAGCAAAAAGUAGAAACGAGGUGGUGGAUUCAGUGUCAGAACCUCCUAAAGGUUGCACCAAUACGGAUUUUCGGCUACUCUUGCUUUCCUCAUUUCUAUUUGGGUUUUCAGGUAUGUAUGCCGGUUGCCGGCUACUCUUGCUUUCCUCAUUGUCUAUUUCGAUCAAUAAUUUGAAAUUUCAGGUAUGCUCUACUCUUGCUUUCUUCAUUGUCAUUUUCUAAAUAAAUCUCUACCGUAUUUAAAAAAAUAAGUUGUGUUCUCACUAGAUAGUUUAGCCGGAGUCCGGAGACACCACUAUCAGUGUUUGAGCAACCGUUAAUCCCCAUGAUGUAUGGAAGGACGGGGUGCGGAUGUGGAGAUGAUUGCAGCUGCGACCCAUGCACCUGCGAAUAAACGCACUUACCCUCCUGACUCCUGUAUUACGAAUAUGAGAUGUUUUAUUUCCUAUCAAAUAUGAUUGUAAUGUGAACCGAAUAAAUAGGCCAUGGCAUCUUCAGGUCUGGUGUAUAUCUUGAUCCGUUGAUGUUUCAUGGUCAAUCAGUUUGUGACUGUAAUUAAUUCUGUACUGAUUGCUGAACUAAAAGAAAUUUUUGAACAGGUAAUAAUUGAAUUGAUCUGUGCAUUU